CACGUAGGGCGCGAGCGUUGUCCGGAAUUAUUGGGCGUAAAGAGCUCGUAGGCGGCCUGUUGCGUCCGCUGUGAAAGCCCGGGGCUUAACCCCGGGUCUGCAGUGGAUACGGGCAGGCUAGAGGUAGGUAGGGGAGAAUGGAAUUCCCGGUGUAGCGGUGAAAUGCGCAGAUAUCGAGAGGAACACCGGUGGCGAAGGCGGUUCUCUGGGCCUUACCUGACGCUGAGGAGCGAAAGCGUGGGGAGCGAACAGG
rnacentral:rRNA from 1 species